AUCACUAAAUCAUAUUGUUAGAUGUUUACAUUCAAUUCCUAUUAAUCCUAGAGUGGCUUAUAAAUUGCUUAAACUUCUUCUUCCUCCCCCACAAAUUCCUAAAUCUAGAAAAGUUUUUACUCUCUAGUUGAUGAAUAGUAAAAGCUGAAGAAUCAUGAGGUUUAUAGCACUUGCUCUAGUCUUGUUGAUGGUGAGCACUUGUAUGGCCACAACUCAGAGAACGUUGAUGGCUGAAGUGCAGCAGGCUGCCAAAAAACGGCCAGAAUGGUGAAGUUGAAGGCCAACUCCUUACGAAUGAACGUAACAAUCCUAGAGGGGAUUUUGAAAAAAGUGUCGGUAGCCCUGUUAAACCGUAGUGUACGUAACUAGUUCAAUGAUGAUGCUUGCUAUGUAUAUAAUAUAUAGGUUAAAUAAUCCUUGAGCUAGAUCAAGCAAAAAAGGAAAGAAAAACGUAAAGUCAUGCUAUAGAUGCAUGGCAUAAGUUGUAGGCGGUUUGGGUUUUUAACCUAUUAGUCUGCAUGGUGUAGCGUACGUAUGUUUCUGUGGUAUAAUAAUCAUAGACUAUGUUUGGAGUUUGUGUAUUUGUUGUGCGAUUGUAAUCAUAUAUAUGUAAUUGAAAGUAAUUUGUAUUGUCAAACAGCUUUAUAAUUCAA